GGCGGCGUGCCUAAUACAUGCAAGUAGAACGCUGAAGAGAGGAGCUUGCUCUUCUUGGAUGAGUUGCGAACGGGUGAGUAACGCGUAGGUAACCUGCCUUGUAGCGGGGGAUAACUAUUGGAAACGAUAGCUAAUACCGCAUAACAAUGGAUGACACAUGUCAUUUAUUUGAAAGGGGCAAUUGCUCCACUACAAGAUGGACCUGCGUUGUAUUAGCUAGUAGGUGAGGUAAUGGCUCACCUAGGCGACGAUACAUAGCCGACCUGAGAGGGUGAUCGGCCACACUGGGACUGAGACACGGCCCAGACUCCUACGGGAGGCAGCAGUAGGGAAUCUUCGGCAAUGGGGGCAACCCUGACCGAGCAACGCCGCGUGAGUGAAGAAGGUUUUCGGAUCGUAAAGCUCUGUUGUAAGUCAAGAACGGGUGUGAGAGUGGAAAGUUCACACUGUGACGGUAGCUUACCAGAAAGGGACGGCUAACUACGUGCCAGCAGCCGCGGUAAUACGUAGGUCCCGAGCGUUGUCCGGAUUUAUUGGGCGUAAAGCGAGCGCAGGCGGUUUGAUAAGUCUGAAGUUAAAGGCUGUGGCUCAACCAUAGUUCGCUUUGGAAACUGUCAAACUUGAGUGCAGAAGGGGAGAGUGGAAUUCCAUGUGUAGCGGUGAAAUGCGUAGAUAUAUGGAGGAACACCGGUGGCGAAAGCGGCUCUCUGGUCUGUAACUGACGCUGAGGCUCGAAAGCGUGGGGAGCGAACAGGAUUAGAUACCCUGGUAGUCCACGCCGUAAACGAUGAGUGCUAGGUGUUGGAUCCUUUCCGGGAUUCAGUGCCGCAGCUAACGCAUUAAGCACUCCGCCUGGGGAGUACGACCGCAAGGUUGAAACUCAAAGGAAUUGACGGGGGCCCGCACAAGCGGUGGAGCAUGUGGUUUAAUUCGAAGCAACGCGAAGAACCUUACCAGGUCUUGACAUCCCGAUGCUAUUUCUAGAGAUAGAAAGUUACUUCGGUACAUCGGUGACAGGUGGUGCAUGGUUGUCGUCAGCUCGUGUCGUGAGAUGUUGGGUUAAGUCCCGCAACGAGCGCAACCCCUAUUGUUAGUUGCCAUCAUUCAGUUGGGCACUCUAGCGAGACUGCCGGUAAUAAACCGGAGGAAGGUGGGGAUGACGUCAAAUCAUCAUGCCCCUUAUGACCUGGGCUACACACGUGCUACAAUGGUUGGUACAACGAGUUGCGAGUCGGUGACGGCGAGCUAAUCUCUUAAAGCCAAUCUCAGUUCGGAUUGUAGGCUGCAACUCGCCUACAUGAAGUCGGAAUCGCUAGUAAUCGCGGAUCAGCACGCCGCGGUGAAUACGUUCCCGGGCCUUGUACACACCGCCCGUCACACCACGAGAGUUUGUAACACCCGAAGUCGGUGAGGUAACCUUUUGGAGCCAGCCGCCUAAGGUGGGACAGAUGAUUGGGGUGAAGUCAUAACA
rnacentral:rRNA from 1 species